rnacentral:rRNA from 1 species
GAUGAACGCUGGCGGCGUGCUUAAUACAUGCAAGUCGAACGGAAGCAGUAGCAAUAUUGCUUUAGUGGCGAACGGGUGAGUAACGCGUUGGUGACCUGCCUCGAAGAGAGGGAUAACAGUCCGAAAGGAUUGCUAAUACCCCAUGUGGUCAUUUGGAUUAGAUGCCUUUUGACUAAACGGAUUUAUUCGCUUCGAGAGGGGCCUGCGUCCCAUCAGCUAGUUGGUAGGGUAAUGGCCUACCAAGGCGAUGACGGGUAGGGGACCUGAGAGGGUGGCCCCCCACAAUGGAACUGAAACACGGUCCAUACACCUACGGGUGGCAGCAGUAGGGAAUAUUGGUUAAUCUGCGAAAGCGGGAACCAGCAACGCCGCGUGCACGAUGAAGGCCUUCGGGUUGUAAAGUGCUUUUGAAAGGAUGAGGAAGGACAGUACUUUCAGAAUAAGCUUCGGCUAACUACGUG